rfam:Candidatus Accumulibacter sp. BA-93 contig000075, whole genome shotgun sequence.
GGGCAGGAUAUGUGAAGUAGGCCCACCCGCAGGCGGGUCGUCCUUCUUCACGAAGCCCUUUCGUCCUUCUUCACGAAGCC